rnacentral:rRNA from 1 species
AACGUAGGAGGCGAGCGUUAUCCGGAGUUACUGGGCGUAAAGCGCGUGUAGGUGGCUUGUUACGUCUGCUGUGAAAGCGCCCGGCUUAACCGGGACGAUGCGGUAGAUACGGGCAAGCUUGAGGGUGACAGAGGAGCGUAGAAUUCCGGGUGUAGUGGUGAAAUGCGCAGAUAUCAGGAAGAACACCUAUGGCGAAAGCAGCUCUCUGGGACGGUACUGACGCUGAGACGCGAAAGCGUGGGGAGCGAACAGG